CACGUAGGGGCCAAGCGUUGUCCGGAUUUAUUGGGCGUAAAGAGCUCGUAGGCGGUUCAGCAAGUCGGGUGUGAAAACUUCGGGCUUAACCCGGAGAGGCCACCCGAUACUGCUGUGACUUGAGUCCGGUAGGGGAGUGGGGAAUUCCUGGUGUAGCGGUGAAAUGCACAGAUAUCAGGAGGAACACCGGUGGCGAAGGCGCCACUCUGGGCCGGUACUGACGCUGAGGAGCGAAAGCGUGGGUAGCAAACAGG
rnacentral:rRNA from 1 species